rnacentral:rRNA from 1 species
AGAGUUUGAUCAUGGCUCAGGAUGAACGCUGGCGGCGUGCCUAACACAUGCAAGUCGAGCGAUUUACUUCGGUAAAGAGCGGCGGACGGGUGAGUAACGCGUGGGUAACCUGCCCUGUACACACGGAUAACAUACCGAAAGGUAUGCUAAUACGAGAUAAUAUGCUUUUAUCGCAUGGUAGGAGUAUCAAAGCUUUUGCGGUACAGGAUGGACCCGCGUCUGAUUAGCUAGUUGGUAAGGUAACGGCUUACCAAGGCGACGAUCAGUAGCCGACCUGAGAGGGUGAUCGGCCACAUUGGAACUGAGACACGGUCCAAACUCCUACGGGAGGCAGCAGUGGGGAAUAUUGCACAAUGGGCGAAAGCCUGAUGCAGCAACGCCGCGUGAGCGAUGAAGGCCUUCGGGUCGUAAAGCUCUGUCCUCAAGGAAGAUAAUGACGGUACUUGAGGAGGAAGCCCCGGCUAACUACGUGCCAGCAGCCGCGGUAAUACGUAGGGGGCUAGCGUUAUCCGGAAUUACUGGGCGUAAAGGGUGCGUAGGUGGUUUCUUAAGUCAGAGGUGAAAGGCUACGGCUCAACCGUAGUAAGCCUUUGAAACUGGGAAACUUGAGUGCAGGAGAGGAGAGUGGAAUUCCUAGUGUAGCGGUGAAAUGCGUAGAUAUUAGGAGGAACACCAGUUGCGAAGGCGGCUCUCUGGACUGUAACUGACACUGAGGCACGAAAGCGUGGGGAGCAAACAGGAUUAGAUACCCUGGUAGUCCACGCCGUAAACGAUGAGUACUAGCUGUCGGAGGUUACCCCCUUCGGUGGCGCAGCUAACGCACUAAGUACUCCGCCUGGGAAGUACGCUCGCAAGAGUGAAACUCAAAGGAAUUGACGG